UUCCUCAGAAGAAAUCAGAUGCUGUUCAGAGCACGAAGGCUAGAAUUUUACCCUGGUUCUCAUGCUACCUUGCACCCAGGUUGGAUCCUGAGUACAGUUUUUGGCAGGUGGGCCUGCAUAUAAGUUAGCAAUGGGGGAUACCCAGCUGCCUCUCUUCAUACAGCUGAGGUUUUGGGGAGUCAUUCUUAUAGCCCCUGGGUUGGGCCUAGUCCUGCAAAUGAAUUCACCAGCCCUAAAGCCCAAAUUGCAGCCUCUGUCAUUCACCUUCCAGGAGUGGAAAGGGCAGUAAGUUUCAUCUUAUUAUUAUUGCUAUUUUGGUGGUUUUGUUGAGGUUGGUGUGUGUAUGUUAGUAAGAUAAAGCUCUCAGAAAUUACAUAGCAUUUGUCAAGGAUAUAAGAGGGACUGUGCCACAUCUGGCUGUAUAGAAGGUGGUUCCAUAUCUUUAAAUAGAGCCCCAGGUCCUUAGCCACCAGAAAGGUUUUCAGGGGAAGUGUGCACCCUCAGCAGCUGCUGCUGGUGGGCAGGAUGGGCACGCAUGGAACAGGCUUUCCUCUGUGGCCAGGUGAGAAGCAGGUGGUGAGACACAGAGCAGUGCUGGGCUCUGCUUCUGAAGCCUCCAACCUUUCCUUCCCUAGGAAGCCCCAGAGAGAUUGGUGAGGGUGAUUUCCCAGGAAGACGCAGUGUGCUCUGACUUCUGUGACAGUGAGCAACGGGACCAGUGGAUGUCCAGAUGCUGGCAAUGAGUAGGCCUUCCCUACGCUGGGUGGCGUCCACACCCUCCGGCUUCCAUUGCCUGGGUCUCCUGGAGGUGGUUUGCUGGAUGAAUACCGCAUGCACAGAGGCUGGCCUUGGGUUUGAAUAUGGCAGCCAGUGGACAGCAUGUGCUUCAGUUAUGAGACUGCCCAGGAGAUGCUUCUUCCAAGGCAGAGCACGUGCAGAGUCCAGUGCUGGAGAGGCCGGGUGCGCAGUUGACCCAUUUCCAGUUCUGUUUUCCCUCUCAUGUUCCUCUGUCCCCAUCUAGGACAUGCUCUGGAGUCAGAAGACAGCGAAAAGAGAAGCAGAAGCCCCGGUGGCAAGAGUCUGAAGCUGGAAAGGAGGAGAACAUGAAACAUUGCUUGAAGACAAUGGCCGAGACAGCAGGUCCCACCCUGCACAGCCACCAGCAUCUCUCCCCUCAGCCCUGUCUCCUCUUCUGCAGUUGGGAUCUGCACAUUUAAGCCUGAAAUUGUCCUGUGAAGUGAAGUAUGAUCGGACAGCCUCUUUUCAGCUUUUAUGACAAUGGAGACAGAGGAAUUGUGGCUCUUGCCAAGGUCACAGGAUUGGAAUACAGAGCCAAGCCACCCCAGGACAUGCAAGAGCCUCAGAAGGGAAAAAAGCCCAGCAGGAAGGGAGAACAAGUAGCCUCUGUCCUGAAGUUGUAACAGCCAGGGGCCAGGAUGGAGGAGGAGGACCCCAUAAUCUGCCCAUCUGGGACUUGGCAGGGGACCUGGGAAAAUGUACCCCAACCCAUCCCUUAAGGGCCUUUGUCUUUGGCCCAUUGGCCUAGCAUCUACUUCUUCACCGUGUCUGUUCUUGUCACACCUAGUCAGGUCUGUUUGGGUCUGAGGUGCAUGGAACAUUCUGGGUAGGCCUCCAGCAAACGGAAGCUCUUCACCGUGUUUCCAGCCUGGGACCAAGGGCAGCAUACUGGCAAAGUUGCCAAAGCAAGGGACUCCAGCCUCUUAGGAGUUAAUGACUCCCUCUCCCCAGCUGUCCUCCCCUUGGUGCUCCUCUUCCUCCCUCCUCCUGCUCACAGCAGGCAGGGCCUAGACCCGGGAGCCAUGCUGCUGUGCUGUUGCCAGGGGAGCACGGAGGCAGAUCUGAGCUAUGCAGGGAAAAGGCCCAGCCUGUCAAAGUGUCUGAGAUGAACCGCCGCCGUCCCUGUGCAGCUGGGCUCAGACGUGUCUCAGCUCUUGUUCUGUGCCUGAGAAUGGCGAAACCCAGUGAGGUUCAAGGGCAAACUCGCUAUUCAUUAGUCAGGGGUUCUUGACGUCCCGUCUCUCCCAGGGAUGAGUUCCCCCCUCCUCUUUCUCCCCCUCCUAUGACACAUUCCUGGGUGCCUUUGGUGAGGACUGCACACCCUCCUCCUGCCUAGCCCCCUCUCCAAAGGCCCCUGAAUAAACUCCCCCCAAGGAGACCAGGCAGGGCAGAGACAAUGGCUGCAGGAAAUCAUUCAGGCGGGACAUGCUGGCCUGCCCUCCACCCAGUCCCCCUGUGGGCCCCACUCCCUUCUGAUUCAGGGCACCCUUGGGCCCCCAGCCUAUACAGGCCUGGACAGGAAGAAACCACUGGGAACCACCCUAAGGACAACAUGCUAGUCCAGUGCCAUUCUUCGCUGGCUCUGUGGGUGCCUUUGUGGCCUGUACCGACUGGCUGGCUAAUUUUGUGGUUUCUGUACCAUCACAUGCCUAUUUUAAGACACUCUCCAGCACUGUCGGUUAGGGAGUGUAAAUUUUGCAAUAUUUUCUGAAAUGUGGCAAUAUCAAAAUGUAAAAGGCACACAUACUUGGUCACAAACAAAUGGCACUAUUUACUCUGUGGGCAUAUUUGUAAAAGUUGCCAAAGAAUUAUAUACAAGGAUGUUCAUCAGAGCAUUUCUUUUGAAGAGUAAAGAAAUGGACAUGAACCUGUGGUCCGUUCAUACGGUGGAAUACCUAUGCAGCUGUAAAAAUCAGUGUGGUAGAUCUCCGUAUAUGAGUUGAUGUGGAAGGUUGGCCAGUUCACAUGAUAAGGUGAAUAGAAUAAGUUACAGAACAGGCUGUAGAGUAUGAUCUUAUUUGUAGAUGUUUAAAACUGAGUCAUAAGUAUGCUUAUAUACAGAUCGUUUCUGGAAGUAUGUACUGGAAGUCUACCUCUGGGGAGUGGGGAUGGGGGAGUGCACUCUUCUAUACUGUUAUAUUUUCUUUUCAUGCUCCUAAGGUACUUUUAUUGGAAGAUGUAAAGCGGUUCAAUGUAAUAGGCUUAACUUCUGUCAACUAAGUUGGCGUGGGUGCUUUAAGAGGGUGGUAGUGAUGUUGCUGGAGAAAGUAUCCCACAGUCACUGGUGGCUUCAGCCACGGGCCAUUUUGGGGCCUAAUAAUCACAUAUCAUCAUGGUUGCUAGUGUUAAUCGAAAACCUACUAAGUGCCAGGCUUACUGUCUCUGGGUCUUGCUUACGUGGAUGUCAUUUUUCCAGUUGCACCAAAUCGAAAGAGGUUAAUUGGUUUGUUGGAGUUCCUUUGUAGGUGAAGGGCAGAGCCAGGAGCUUGGCUAGGGACAGGGGAGGUGAGUGGGGGAUGGUGGAUAGGUCUUGGCUCCCAGUUUCCUUCUGGGCAGACAUUGCCCCUCUGCCCUGAGGACCUGCUUGUUUGGGGGAAGAGGCCUUUAGAGGCACCAGGGUCAUGCCAGGUGUUGGACAUGGUGAACUGGGAAGUGCUCCCAUCUGGCCACAGCGCAGAAGUAUCACCGUGCUGGGGGAUGGGGAACAGGGCUGUGAAUGGGCCUAUUUGCAUAAGCAGCAUGUGUCUGGAGAGAAAGACAUCACAGAGCAGAAGAGUGCGGGUGCCCAGGAGUGCACUUGCCACCCCUACUUCAUCCCUGAAAGAGUAAAUGGCCUGGAAGGUGUCUCUGAGAGGUAAUGCCGCACACCACCCUCCCUGGGGGCAGGGUCAGGCUACACCUGCCUUAGGUCGGGGGCUGCAGCAGCCUGAGAGCUCUCAGUAGGGCCUCAGUAGCCUGGGAGGGAGCAGGGGCAGGGGGCAGGGAAAGAGGCGUAAUGGGGCUGUCCAGAGGGGCCUGGGAAACCUGGUCCCUGAGGCCUGGGCACAGCUACAAUCACUUCAAAUUGGCUGUGGGGCCAGUGGACUGGGAAGGAAAAAAGCAAUAAGAGUGACCAAGUGCAGAAGGCUGUCAGGUCCCAGGUCACAUGCCUUAGUGCAGUGACUCCUCAUCAUUUUAUGGGGUGUGGGUGUCGUUGGUACACCCAUUUUACAGAUGAGGACACCGAGGCCCAGAAAAGUUAAGUUACAUGUCCUAAGUCACACAGCUUGUAAGUGCCAGAACUGAGAUCAAAACCAAGUCUCUUUGACUUUAAAGUCUGUACUCUGACCCCAAAGAGAUCCUGUUUGGCCACUUAUAGGAGGUCCCUAAAGCUGCAGACUCCCCUUGCCGGCACCCACAUAUAGAGACAUUAACCCUUCCCCUGCAGGGUCACCUCAAAUAGUCUUUUAGCUGGGCUUCUCCUGCAAUUCCACCUAAUGCCAUCCCCUGGGUUUUGCCCAAACCUGAACUGGGCAGUGGGGUGAGAGGAGGGGUUUACAGGGUUACAGAGCCUCAUACAGAUAGGAGCCCAUGGCUGCUGGUCAUCUGCAUUCCUGCAGGAUUGGCUGUUCCUUGGGGUCCUUGGCAGGAAAAUGAGGAUUGCUCCGAGGCCUGCUCCAGUACUUCCCAGAGGCUGGCCUGGUGUGGGGCUCUGGGAAGGCUGAGGCUGGAGAAGCGUAAGUAGGAGGGCAGAGAUGGCACUCAGGUAGCUUGAAUCACCAGGACCCUUCCAAGCCCCACAGGUUCUGAGGGAGUACUAGGGCCAGCUCUGGGAGAGGUCUCUUCCUAUGCUGUGAACCCCCUGCCUUUCUUGCAGCCUACAACGAAUAAAUUUUCUUUGCAAAGGCUU
rnacentral:lncRNA from 1 species